UACGGAGGGUGCAAACGUUGCUCGGAAUUAUUGGGCGUAAAGCGCACGUAGGCGGCCGACUAAGUCGGGUGUGAAAGCCCAGGGCUCAACCCUGGAAGUGCACUCGAAACUGAUCGGCUUGAAUAUGGAAGAGGGUCGCGGAAUUCCCGGUGUAGAGGUGAAAUUCGUAGAUAUCGGGAGGAACACCAGUGGCGAAGGCGGCGACCUGGGCCAAUAUUGACGCUGAGGUGCGAAAGCGUGG
rnacentral:rRNA from 1 species